GACGAACGCUGGCGGCGUGCUUAACACAUGCAAGUCGAACGGUGAAGCGCCUUCCUUUUUGGUGGGUGUGGAUGAGUGGCGAACGGGUGAGUAACACGUGAGUAACCUGCCCCCUCCUUCUGGAUAACCGCAUGAAAGUGUGGCUAAUACGGGAUAUUCUGGGUCUGUCGCAUGAUGGGUCUGGGAAAGAUAUUGUUUCGGUGGGGGAUGGGCUCGCGGCUUAUCAGCUUGUUGGUGGGGUGAUGGCCUACCAAGGCGGUGACGGGUAGCCGGCCUGAGAGGGUGGACGGUCACACUGGGACUGAGACACGGCCCAGACUCCUACGGGAGGCAGCAGUGGGGAAUAGUGCACAAUGGGCGCAAGCCUGAUGCAGCGACGCCGCGUGAGGGAUGGAGGCCUUCGGGUUGUGAACCUCUUUCGCCAGUGAAGCAGGCCUGCCUCGUUUGUGGGUGGGUUGACGGUAGCUGGAUAAGAAGCGCCGGCUAACUACGUG
rnacentral:rRNA from 1 species